rnacentral:rRNA from 1 species
GAUGAACGCUGGCGGCGUGCCUAAUACAUGCAAGUCGAGCGAAGCGGGGACGCGUGUGAAAAACGUGGAUAACCCCCCAUAAGACUGGGGUAACCUCGGGAAACCGGAGCUAAACCGGAAACUUAUCGCUGGAUCCGGGCUGCAUUAGCUAGUUGUGAAGGUAACGGCUUAACAAGGCAACGAUGGAUAGCCGACCUGAGAGGGUGAUCGGCCACACGGGAACUGCGACACGGCCCAGACGCGUACGGAGGGAAGCAGUAGGGAAUCUUCCGAAAUGGGCGAAAGCCUGACGGAGCAACGCGGGGGGAGGGAUUAAGGUCUUCGGUUCGUAAAACUCUGUUAUUAGGGAAGCGGUACCUAAUCAGAAAGCCACGGCUAACUACGUGCCAGCAGCCGCGGUAAUUC